UUAUGUGCCUACCAUGGUUGUAACGGGUAACGGAGAAUAAGGGUUCGACUCCGGAGAGGGAGCCUGAGAAACGGCUACCACAUCCAAGGAAGGCAGCAGGCGCGCAAAUUACCCACUCUCGGCAUGAGGAGGUAGUGACGAAAAAUAACGAGACCGUUCUCUAUGAGGCCGGUUAUCGGAAUGGGUACAAUUUAAACCCGUUAACGAGGAUCUAUGAGAGGGCAAGUCUGGUGCCAGCAGCCGCGGUAAUUCCAGCUCUCAAAGUGUAUAUCGUCAUUGCUGCGGUUAAAAAGCUCGUAGUUGGAUCUGCGCCUCAGGACCUGGUCCGCCCACUGGGCGAGAACUGGGCUCCUGGGCUAGUUCUGCUGGUUUUCCCUACGUUGCCUUCAUCGGUCGCGUAGGGUGGCUAGCGAGUUUACUUUGAAAAAAUUAGAGUGCUUCACGCGGGCUUAUGUCUGAAUACUCGUGCAUGGAAUAAUAGAAUAGGAUCUCGGUUCUAUUUUGUUGGUUUUCUGAUCUGAGAUAAUGGUUAAGAGGGACGGACGGGGGCAUUCGUAUCGCUGCGUGAGAGGUGAAAUUCUUGGACCGUAGCGAGACGUCCGACUGCGAAAGCAUUUGCCAAGAAUGUCUUCAUUAAUCAAGAACGAAAGUCAGAGGUUCGAAGGCGAUCAGAUACCGCCCUAGUUCUGACCGUAAACGAUACCAACUAGCGUUCCGUCGGCGGUAA
rnacentral:rRNA from 1 species